GAAUAUUGCGCAAUGGGCGAAAGCCUGACGCAGCCACGCCGCGUGAGCGAUGAAGGCCUUCGGGUCGUAAAGCUCUGUGGAGGGAGAAGAAUCAAGCCGGUGAAGAGCCGGCCCUGACGGUAUCCCUUUAGCCAGCCACUGCUAACUCCGUGCCAGCGGCCGCGGUAAUACGGAGGGUGCGAACGUUGCUCGGAAUCAUUGGGCGUAAAGCGCGCGUAGGCGGCUUUGCAAGUUGGAUGUGAAAGCCCAGGGCUCAACCCUGGAAGUGCAUCCAAAACUGCAUGGCUUGAAUCCCGGAGGGGGCCAGAGAAUUCCCGGUGUAGAGGUGAAAUUCGUAGAUAUCGGGAGGAAUACCAGUGGCGAAGGCGCUGGCCUGGACGGUGAUUGACGCUGAGGUGCGAAAGCGUGGGGAGCAAACAGG
rnacentral:rRNA from 1 species